rnacentral:rRNA from 1 species
CGGAUAAAAGGUACUCCGGGGAUAACAGGCUUAUCGCGCCCAAGAGUUCACAUCGACGGCGCGGUUUGGCACCUCGAUGUCGGCUCAUCCCAUCCUGGGGCUGGAGCAGGUCCCAAGGGUUUGGCUGUUCGCCAAUUAAAGGGGUACGUGAGCUGGGUUUAGAACGUCGUGAGACAGUUCGGUCCCUAUCUUCCGUGGGCGCAGGAGAUUUGAGGGGAGCUGUCCCUAGUACGAGAGGACCGGGAUGGACGAACCUCUGGUGAUCCAGUUGUCCCGCCAGGGGCAUAGCUGGGUAGCUACGUUCGGAAGGGAUAACCGCUGAAGGCAUCUAAGCGGGAAGCCCACCCCAAGAUUAGAUCUCCCUUCCUGGGGGAGACCCCAGGACUGAAGGCUCCUUGGAGACUACGAGGUUGAUAGGCCGGGUGUGUAAGUGCGGCAACGCAUUUAGCUAACCGGUACUAAUAGGCCGUGAGGCUUGACCAUA